rnacentral:rRNA from 1 species
AUAGACGCUGGCGGCGUGCCUAACACAUGCAAGUCGAACGAAGCUACUUUUACUUGAUUUCCUUCGGGAAUUGAUUUUUAAUGUGACUGAGUGGCGGACGGGUGAGUAACGCGUGGGCAACCUGCCUUACACAGGGGGGACAACAGUUGGAAACGACUGCUAAUACCGCAUAAUGCUAUUGACCGGCAUCGGUUGAUAGCCAAAGAUUUAUUGCUGAGAGAUGGCCUCGCGUCUGAUUAGCUAGUUGGUGGGUAACGGCCCACCAAGGCGACGAUCAGUAGCCGGACUGAGAGGUUGACCGGCCACAUUGGGACUGAGACACGGCCCAAACUCCUACGGGAGGCAGCAGUGGGGAAUAUUGCACAAUGGGGGAAACCCUGAUGCAGCGACGCCGCGUGAGUGAAGAAGUAUUUCGGUAUGUAAAGCUCUAUCAGCAGGGAAGAUAAUGACGGUACCUGACUAAGAAGCCCCGGCUAACUACGUG